rnacentral:rRNA from 1 species
CGCCCUUAGAGUUUGAUCAUGGCUCAGAUUGAACGCUGGCGGCAGGCUUAACACAUGCAAGUCGAGCGGUAGGAGAGCUUGCUCUCUACGAGCGGCGGACGGGUGAGUAAUGUCUGGGAAACUGCCUGAUGGAGGGGGAUAACUACUGGAAACGGUAGCUAAUACCGCAUAACGUCGCAAGACCAAAGAGGUUCGUCUUGCCAUCAGAUGUGCCCAGAUGGGAUUAGCUAGUAGGUGGGGUAACGGCUCACCUAGGCGACGAUCCCUAGCUGGUCUGAGAGGAUGACCAGCCACACUGGAACUGAGACACGGUCCAGACUCCUACGGGAGGCAGCAGUGGGGAAUAUUGCACAAUGGGCGCAAGCCUGAUGCAGCCAUGCCGCGUGUAUGAAGAAGGCCUUCGGGUUGUAAAGUACUUUCAGCGAGGAGG